rnacentral:rRNA from 1 species
GAUUAUGACGUACUUGUACUGAUUGAGAUUUUAACACGAAGUGAGUGGCGAACGGGUGAGUAACACGUGGGUAACCUGCCCAGAAGUAGGGGAUAACACCUGGAAACAGAUGCUAAUACCGUAUAACAGAGAAAACCGCAUGGUUUUCUUUUAAAAGAUGGCUCUGCUAUCACUUCUGGAUGGACCCGCGGCGUAUUAGCUAGUUGGUGAGGUAAAGGCUCACCAAGGCAGUGAUACGUAGCCGACCUGAGAGGGUAAUCGGCCACAUUGGGACUGAGACACGGCCCAGACUCCUACGGGAGGCAGCAGUAGGGAAUCUUCCACAAUGGACGCAAGUCUGAUGGAGCAACGCCGCGUGAGUGAAGAAGGGUUUCGGCUCGUAAAGCUCUGUUGUUAAAGAAGAACGUGGGUAAGAGUAACUGUUUACCCAGUGACGGUAUUUAACCAGAAAGCCACGGCUAACUACGUGCCAGCAGCCGCGGUAAUACGUAGGUGGCAAGCGUUAUCCGGAUUUAUUGGGCGUAAAGCGAGCGCAGGCGGUCUUUUAAGUCUAAUGUGAAAGCCUUCGGCUCAACCGAAGAAGUGCAUUGGAAACUGGGAGACUUGAGUGCAGAAGAGGACAGUGGAACUCCAUGUGUAGCGGUGAAAUGCGUAGAUAUAUGGAAGAACACCAGUGGCGAAGGCGGCUGUCUGGUCUGCAACUGACGCUGAGGCUCGAAAGCAUGGGUAGCGAACAGGAUUAGAUACCCUGGUAGUCCAUGCCGUAAACGAUGAUUACUAAGUGUUGGAGGGUUUCCGCCCUUCAGUGCUGCAGCUAACGCAUUAAGUAAUCCGCCUGGGGAGUACGACCGCAAGGUUGAAACUCAAAAGAAUUGACGGGGGCCCGCACAAGCGGUGGAGCAUGUGGUUUAAUUCGAAGCUACGCGAAGAACCUUACCAGGUCUUGACAUCUUCUGACAGUCUAAGAGAUUAGAGGUUCCCUUCGGGGACAGAAUGACAGGUGGUGCAUGGUUGUCGUCAGCUCGUGUCGUGAGAUGUUGGGUUAAGUCCCGCAACGAGCGCAACCCUUAUUACUAGUUGCCAGCAUUAAGUUGGGCACUCUAGUGAGACUGCCGGUGACAAACCGGAGGAAGGUGGGGACGACGUCAAAUCAUCAUGCCCCUUAUGACCUGGGCUACACACGUGCUACAAUGGAUGGUACAACGAGUCGCGAGACCGCGAGGUUAAGCUAAUCUCUUAAAACCAUUCUCAGUUCGGACUGUAGGCUGCAACUCGCCUACACGAAGUCGGAAUCGCUAGUAAUCGCGGAUCAGCAUGCCGCGGUGAAUACGUUCCCGGGCCUUGUACACACCGCCCGUCACACCAUGAGAGUUUGUAACAC